rfam:Cyanophage S-RIM32 isolate RW_108_0702, complete genome.
GGGUCAGUAGCUCAGUUGGAUAGAGCAACUGCCUUCUAAGCAGUCGGUCACAGGUUCGAGUCCUGUCUGACCCG